GUUGUUGACAGACAAAGUUUUCUAUCUACAAUUAAAUCAACAUCACCCGAGGUUCAUCUUUAAGCAUUGGUGCCAUCUGGUAGACAUUUUAAACCAAGGCCUUACCACCACUACCGGAGGACCCUGCCAUUCAACACACGCCUGGCCUCCAGCGACAGCCCUUCUAGGAGCAUCUCUUCGCUUGAGUGUGCUAAAAACCAGAGCAUCCUGACAAGGGUCAGCAAGAAGAUGUCUGGUAUCUUCUCCCAAAUUUCAGGGAACCGGCCAAAGAAAGAAGAAAAGCAGAAAAGAAGAAUGUCCUUCCAGACAGAGGCAGAGGAAGACAUAGUCAACCUGACCAUUAACCUAAGAAUCAACUUCUCCGACAUGCCUACCGAGCAGAUGCGCACCUGGACCGUGGGACCCCUGUCAGUAAGUCCUCUGAGAAGAAACAGCAUCAACUUGGUGGUGACCAACUCAGACUCUGAUCUGCUGGACUGAUGGACAGGCAGAGCUAAAGCCUCUGACAACAAAAGCUCCCUCCUGGCUACAGCACAACUACUGACUCAGCAGUCUGGCCAUGGCCGGGAGCAAGUAGUGUCCAGCAGGCACUAUGGGCCAAAGCAAGGACGUGUGCCUCCCUCACAUCUGUGCUCAUAAGAGUGAGUAACAUGGUGUCGCUCCUGUCAAAAAAUGAUUUACAAAAAUUAUUUAAAUUUAAAAUUUAAAAAAUGGUUUACAGACUGCCCUCCUCAUACACCGGACCCCUCCCCCAUGUAUGGGAGAAAGAGAGUAUGUGGAAACCCCAUAGAAAAUAAUGGGCCAUAUUCAGCUAUUGAAAAUUAUAUAUAGGAAAGUAAUUAAAGGGUAUAAGUAGUAAAAGUUGAGAAGAGACAUGAAAGAGGGGGAAACGGACAUUCCAGAUAAAAAAUAAUAAUAAUAGUAAUUUAUAUAGCAGACUAUAAGUCUGAUAGUUUGGGGAAAGAAGUUAAAUUUAGAAUCAGGAUAAAUCAAAGGAGGUCUCUUUCAUGAAAAAAUAAAAACAAAAAACCAAGGAGCUUUACCUAAUUGAAAUAAUCAGCAAAAGGGGAGGAGAAAGGAAUAUAGAAGGGAAAACAACAUUGAGACAGACAGAACAGAUAUGGAACUGGUUUAAUAGAUACCACAGAAGCAACAAUCCUGGCAUUAUCCUUGAAGAUAAUCCUCAAAGGGAUAGUGACUUUCACAAAUGAAAUCUUCUUUUUACUAUCUAAAAGUUAUGUGGGAAAUAGAAACAAGAAGAGGUAGACAUAUUGAGACAGAAACCAGAAGAUGGGAGAAUGUAGGUAAAGACUGGAAGGUUUAAGUGUGUUAGAAUGGAAGGUUAUAGAAAGAAGAAGGUAUGGGAAGAGGAUUUUAGUAAGAAGGUAUGGAGAGAGGAAGGUUUGAGUGAGAGAGAAGGUAAAUGAGAUUCAUGUAAUACUGAUACUGAAUAUACUAUAUAGUAUUUAGAAAGCAAAGAAGGGCAAUAGUUAUGUUCAAUAUUUGCAACUAAGGAACUAUACUCACCCAGUAAUUGCUUUCAGUCAUGAUACACUGUUUGUUAUAGGGAUGGGAUUAAGAAUACAUUUAGUUGUUCUCUAUUUUGGUAUCUAUUUUGGUCUCUCUUUGCAUCUUCGAUGAAACAAUGAUACUGGAAUAACGAAAAUGUAGCAAUGAUACUGUAGUUGAUAUAAUGCUAUAGUAGAGAUUGUUAUGUAUAUUUCAGUAUGAUGUGUUUAAUAAAACUAUUUUUAAAAAAUAAAACAAUGAGCUGCAUGCUCUCAGCAGCACAUGCCAUUGGCAGAGCAGGUAUGCACCCCAUUACUUCUGCCGGGGCUUGACUUCUGCUUAAACUCAAAACCAUGGAAGGCAAGGCAGCCUAUGAGGAGGGCUGACUGUAUGGCUUUUUAAUGCCUCUCAAAGAAUGAUUUAUGACCUGUCAUCAAAAUGAAUUGAUGACCUGUCAAACUGAUGGACAUGUCUCUCCCCUGGAAAUGCUUGAGUGGGACAUCCUAGCCAUGUGACCCACCCUGAAGAAUGGGGGGUGGUUUGACCCCCUCCCCCCAGCCCCAGGUGUUCCCAUUAGCCCCCUUGAG